GGGCUUGGGUAGGCCCACCAGGCGAUUACGGGUAGCCGGCCUGUAGAGGGCGACCGGCCACACUGGGACUGAGACACGGCCCAGACUCCUGCGGGAGGCAGCAGUGGGGAAUAUUGCGCAAUGGGCGAAAGCCUGACGCAGCGACGCCGCGUGGGGGAUGACGGCCUUCGGGUUGUAAACCUCUUUUACCACCAACGCAGGCUCGGAGUUUUCUUCGGGUUGACGGUAGGUGGGGAAUAAGGACCGGCUAACUACGUGCCAGCAGCCGCGGCGGA
rnacentral:rRNA from 1 species